GACGAACGCUGGCGGCGUGCUUAACACAUGCAAGUCGAACGCUGAAGCUCAGCUUUUGUUGGGUGGAUGAGUGGCGAACGGGUGAGUAACACGUGAGUAACCUGCCUCCUUCUUUGGGAUAACGCCCGGAAACGGGUGCUAAUACUGGAUAUUCACUGGUCUUCGCAUGGGGGUUGGUGGAAAGGGUUUUUCUGGUGGGGGAUGGGCUCGCGGCCUAUCAGCUUGUUGGUGGGGUGAUGGCCUACCAAGGCUUUGACGGGUAGCCGGCCUGAGAGGGUGACGGGAACCAUGGGGAGGGGGUUACGGCCCAGAGUCCAACGGGGGGAGGCGUGGGGGAAAUUGGCACAAGGGCGCAAGCCUGAUGCAGCGAAGCCGCGGGAGGGAUGGAGGCCUUCGGGUUGUGAACCUCUUUCGCUCAAGGUCCAGCCGCAACAAUGGUUGUGGUGAGGGUAGUGGGUAAAGAAGCGCCGGCUAACUACGUG
rnacentral:rRNA from 1 species